AUGGCAUCCUACAAGACUCUCUUUUUAACCAUUUUGAUUAUUUGCAUUGCUUCAGGCAUGGUUGCCGUUUCAGGAGCAGGCGGAAAAUUAUGCUUCAUAUCGAUUUUUUGUCCAACUGCACCAGAACAGUGUGACCAUUUUUGUAAAGGAUCAUUGGGCAAACCAGGUGGCUCGUGUUUAGAAGGUGAAUGUUGUUGCAAUUUGGAAAGUUUGAAUAUAAAAUAAACAAUUUCUUUGCUUGUUUCUUUCUUUGUUUGAAUACAUUCAUCUACCAACACUCCAUCUGAAAUUUACAUAAAAAGAAUUUUGAAGUAUCAAUCAUGUAAUUUCAUUUUAAAUAUUUAUUUUUAUAAUUUCUAUUGAUUAAUUGGUAUACAAA